rnacentral:lncRNA from 1 species
CGGUUACAUAAAUUUGAAUGUACCAAGAACAAAUUUAGUUUGUAUAGCCUUAAAUUACCAUCAGCAACUUAAUCAAUUAAUCAACUAAAUAUUAAUACUAUGUAUUGUAUUUUAAUUCCAAGGUAUGUUCUGCAUAUGUAUCCACUGUAUAAUUUGGUUGUGUAGGAAUAGUUUUAUGCCAUAGAAACAAUAUGGCUUCUCCCCGGUCAACAAAAGCUUUUUUUUUAAUCAUUGGAGAACAAAGUUGACAUCUGCAGCACUGAAAUACCUGCAAUUGAAGGAAACGAAGUGUUGCAAAAUGGAAUUCGUUUACUAAAAAUGUAAAUAAAAUUUCCUGCAAAGUAAGUAAACUAAUUUGAGCAAUCUUAUUUUAACUUUAAUAGAAGACUCAUACAAAUGGAACAAAUGAAAGUCUAAUUUUUUAGCUAAAUAACACAAACUGAUAAAAAAGAAGCUAAACUCCAAAAGUAAAAUAAUAAAGUAAAAACUUUCAACUGGGUUUAUCAAAACCUAAGUAUAUAAUCAUAUAUUAAGCUAAUCCUUGAAAUGACUCAAUUCGUUCGGUUUGAGAUUUUUUUAAUUGUGCUUCAACUAAAUACAUGUGUAUAUAGAUGCUUGUUAAUGCAUUUCUACGCAGAUGGUUAAUUAAUUUCAAAAGAUCGUUUUGUAAAUUUGCCAUUGAAUAAAAUCUUUGGCAAAACUGCGGUGCGAUCAAAAUGUUUGCAACUUAUUUUGUCAAUUUUGAUCUCCGAUUCUGUCCACUCAUUUUCAAAUAAAUUGGCAUCUAAGGUAAUGCUAUGAAGCAGCUGAUUGACUAAUCACCAAGAACGUCAAGAGUUUUUUUUUUUUCACUCACAACCAAAGAAAAACCAUAUACUUCCUAAUUGGGGAAACACUUCAAAAACCUAAAGUAAUAAUGAAUUCGAAUUUGAAUCAGAAGGAAGCCACAAUUGUUUUAAAACUCCUAAUAAAUUUGAUAACUAAGCUGAAAGAUUUUUUUCAAAGCCUUAAAAUAUAUAAGCAAAACUCUAAAAGAGAAUUGUUAUUAGCACUCUAAAAAUUUCAUUUAGCACUCCAAACUUUCUAUAAUUAGAAAGAAAAAUACACUUACAAGGAGUGUAGAAUGAGAUUUUUGGAGUGCUAAUAACAGUUUCCACUCUAAAUACUCGUCACUAUUUACCAAUAAAAAGUUCUUUAUAAUUUCAACUCACUAUUUAAUUCCAGGAUUGAUCCAAUGAGAUACCGUAGUUUUAGUGAAGUAUAACUUACAAAUUAAUUAUUUGUCUUCUCAAUCAGCAGGUAUACCAAUUGAAAUAACCAAUGAAAACUUUUGAAUAUUCUAGUGAUCCAAUGAAAACUUUUGAAUAUUCUAGUGAUCAGCCACCACCCCUACCUUUUCACCAACCUCCUCCGUUUUUUCCUCAUCCAAAACAAUUCCGACGACGACAGCCUCACCGUUCAAUUCGCCGACGCUCAAGACAGAGACGGGGACCAAUUCGGCGUCCUCUUCGACCCUUUUGGCACCUCAACGACUUGGAGGAGCCCGUUGUACUAUUUGAAGGGCAAGCUCGAGCAUGUCGAGCGCGAACUCAGGCCAAUGAUGCCGGCGCUGGUGGCGAGUGCAAAGGACGAGCAGAGAGGUAGAAAAGAAAAAGGGGUUGGUCGCUGGAUUGGAUGGGAGGGUUCGAGAGAAAGGUAGGAAGGCAGCGGUGCCGACGAAGGAGGAGGAAGGGAGAUCGUGGCUUUCUGUGUUGGGAGAAGAAGAAGAAAUAGAGUGGAAGAAGACGUAGGGGGAGGUAGAAGAGGACCAAAUUUUUUUUUUAAAUUUUAAUUUGAUGUGGUGCUCAAUUAUUGUCCACAUGGGUGUCACGUUAUUAGUUAACGAGAGACUUAACCGCCAGACUAAUGGAUAUCUGAGACUGUUCCAAAAUUAACACUUUAGGUAUGACUCUAGGACGAAAAAAACUUCAUGUACCAAAUGUUAAGACCCACAAAACUUAAAAGUAGUAAACUAACAUUUACCCUAAAAAAUAAUAAGUUUUAGAACAUAUUACAUAAACCACUCAUCUCGAUUAAUAGCUAGAACUCCGACAAAACAAGUUCACUAAUAAUCUACACACACAAGCUUACUAACCCAAGUCUCUUUCUCUCUCUCUCUCUCUCUCUAUAACAUAUAUAUACACACACGUAUAUUACGUGAUCUCCAGAGCAUGCUCAUUUCUAAAAUCAAUGGAGCAAAGCUCUUAUUUAUAGUAGUAUAGGUCGGCCAAAAGACUUGGUGCUAAGUAAAACAAUAAUAAAAUAUAUUGAAUGAUGAUUUAACUCUGCAGAUAUACCUAAGCAUUUGAAUGCAUGCAGAUGUGUCAAGUAUAUACGUGAUGAGUGGCUUAAGAGCUGUCAAACUUUCAUGCCUCUAGCUAACACCUCGUGCAAGUAGACUUCCACCUCCAGGGCUCAUAGCCACACACAUAUGAAGUUAUGAAUAAUUAAGCCACAUGGUGGCAUUUCAUAAGACAGGAAUGCAAUUUGAUGAUAGAUAGGUUGACAAGUGGAAGAUGACAUGGAUUUAAAUAAACCAAUAAAUCUUAACUGGUAAAUAUUCACCCGUUGUUGAUGUCAAUAGCAUGUGAGAAUAUUAUUACGGCUACUGAAGUAUAAAAUGCAAUGCGUGGACAUUUAGAUAACAAAGUAAUAUUACCAAAUAAAUAUAAAUAACCUAUUUUAGUUAGCUAUGAAAAAAAAUCUUUGAAGUGUGUUUCUAUAUUGGCCGUAGAAGGUGUGGUCCGCUGUCCUGCCCUAAAGAGGAUGUGAAUGAUAGCUGCUUUAUGAUUGAAAGAGUGUUUGAUGAUGAACCAAAGAUUUACCCUGAAGAUGUGCAAGUGGAGGAGGAUAUUAAGUACUAGUUUGUUAUUAAGGUACUUUUAUAAAAAAUGAGUAUAAAAAAAAGCUGAGCUAAAAAAAGUGUUUGGUAAACACUUAAAAACAACUUAUUUUCACAGUUUUUGGUGAAAAAAAACUGAAAACGUGAAGCAGCAAAAAUAAGCUUAUUCGCAUAGUAGAAACAGUUUUUUUUCAAAGCACAUCAAUACCAAACCAGCCCUAAAGAGGCUCUACAAAGUGAUGUGCUCCUCUGUUUUCCGGUGGCGGUGACUCAGGAUGUGACAACAUUAAGGCUGAGGAUGGAGCUCAGAAAUUGGAUGGUGAUGGCCCAGAUGAGGAAGGAUGGACCACUGUGAUCCCAAGGUGGCUUAGAAGGGCUGAGAAAUAAAAGGCUUCUGAAUAAGGGGUGGGAGGAUAGUGUGCCAAAGGAGAACAACAAGGUGUCAAAGUAUAAGUGGGUGGCUCGGGCUGACCUUACGCAGGACUGGAGGAAAACUGAUAAGGCUGUGGAGCAAGUGCAGGAGGUAAGUAUAUUUUUCAUUUGCUCGGGAUGCCUUGAGUUAGUUAACUGCGAUAAUAAGCCUUGUUUGAUUGUUGAUAAAGUUUGUGUUACAUGUGUUUGCUGGAAUGUUAAAAACCAUUUACAUUAUAUGCAAUUAUGCAGUGAUAACAUAUAUUUCCUUGCCUUGGAGUGUGAUUAUUUGUUCUGGCAUGUGCUUCUCCUAAGUAAUGUGAAUGUUGAUUGCUAUUUAUGUGUUCAAGAGGUAAUUAUGCAAGAGGGUAGUAGGACUGGGGGAAAGUAGUAGACGUCUUGAUGCGGUGGCAUCUAGCUUGGCAGCUAAAGCUACUCCGUUGGCCCCAGACCAAUUGUAGGCCUGAUAAGUCCAAGGAAGUGUAUCCGUGAGGAGAUUGCAGAAGCAGAUACCAGCUACAAAAAUCUUCAUGAAGAAAUUGACUGAUGGGGUGCAUGUCAUGGAAUUCUAGGGGUCUAGGGAGACCUGAUUUUAAAAGUAACUUUAGCUUUUUAUGUAGUAGCUUUAGAUUGGACCUUUUUGGUUUAAUGGAGACCAAAAUGGAAGUGAACAAGAUCCAAGGGAAUUUCUGCGGCAGUAUUUUUAUGAAGUUGUUAAUUGCAGCCCCACUGGUCGGAUUGGAGGGUUGGUACUACUUUGGAACUCAAAUUACUAUCAAUGUGAUUGCUAGUUCUUCUCGUUAUUUACACUGUGUAGAUCUUCUCAUUAUUUACAUUAUGACCUUCCAAGAAAACAUCAUCGACAAGCGCAGCCUUCUUUGCAGGGCCUUGUUCUAGGCGUGGCAUUCGCCACCCAUCUCUGUGGC